CACACCUCUAAUGUUGCUACCACUUACAUCAACAUGGAAGCACAGACCAGAUGCCUGUUGUACACAAGUCUACGUCUGCGUCUGCAACGGUCUUAGCUUAAUACCUGCCUAGUGCCGUGCAGCAGAGCCAGACUGCAUUAAAAAAAAAAGGAAAAAGGAAGGUCGCCAGAAUCAAAACACUCCAAAUCUCCCACACAUCUCCAGUCAGGCUUUCUCUCUCGUAUUAGGCGGCUCACAAAUAAAGCGAUUUACCUUGGUGUCUCUCCGCACACCGGGGGCAAAACAAUGCAGCACGCCGUUUCCUUUAGAAAUGUGUGUGUGUGUGAGUGUGGAGAGGGGGAGACAGACUGUAAAACCCCUGUGGCACAAAUCAUCCACCCCCACCGCUGCAUCUUGUGCCACAAUGUGUCUCCUAACUGUCUGACAUGGUAACAUGGAUGAGGGCAGAGCUGGGAGACAAACAGAAAGAGACACAAAGACUGGUGGUGCUGCUGAUGGUGGUGGUGGUGGAGACAAGCUGGUGAGCUGGUGCUGCUUCUGAUGUUCUUCUACAGACUGAUGGAAAGCAGGGAUGACAUAAGAGCCGGGCAACCUGAGGAAGGGGAGGUUAAGGAUGCAGAGACACACUAACAAAAGCAACAGCAUUUAAUAUGAAACAGAAUUUCAGAGCUUAGUCGCCAUGACAACAACACACUUACACCACCGUUUAAUUGCUGCUGGCUGCAGUUGUCUGUCGUCUCUCAAUCUGCUGGCAACAUGUAUAACCUGUUAUUACUGUAAUUUGUGGUAUUUCUUCACCACAGUACACCAGAGCAGCACCUGGUGUUUGGCCCCAACCUGUCCAACCACCAGCAUCACUUGUGAACGAUUUAAGCUAAAUGAACUCCUUCACUCGAGGCGCAGGCUGACCCCCGUCCCCACAGGGACUGAUUCACCUUACAUCCAUGUAGAACUGUAGGCGGUGCGGGGAAAGUGUUCAAGCCAGGACAGGAUGGAGAUAUUCUCCUAGGCUUCAAAACAGCUGGAAUGAGAAGCUAGACGAGUGUGCAAAGAUUUUCAACAAUCGCAGGCUGAAGUGGAUAUCUGACACGAGACAAGAUGAGCUCACAAGGAAUGUCGUAUCUCUCUUCCCAUCGCUGGAUGUCUUUGUAGCAGAUUUCAACAGGGAAAAAAGGGGAUAAUAUCAACUUUUAUGACAAGAUAAAGCGUUUUAAAUAUUUAAAAAAGCCCAUAAAUGACACAAAUUUCAUCCUGUGUAUGAGCUUACUAACAAAAUCAAUGAAUAUUUAUGUUUUUCAUCAACUAUAUUAGCAUGUCUACGGCAAUGGUUGUGCGUUAUUAUUUUUAAAAAAGUGUACUAGUGCUUUUAGUACU